rnacentral:rRNA from 1 species
UAGAAAUAUAGUAGAGGUUAUCGAGGUGACAGGUGGUGCAUGGCUGUCGUCAGCUCGUGUCUUGAGAUGUUUGGUUAAGUCCCGCAACGAGCGCAACCCCACUCUUUAGUUACUUGUCUAAAGAGACUGCACAGUAAUGUAGAGGAAGGAUGGGAUCACGUCAAGUCAUCAUGCCCCUUAUGCCUUGGGCUGCAAACGUGCUACAAUGGCGAACACAAUGUGUUGCAAACCAGCGAUGGUAAGCUAAUCACCAAAUUUCGUCUCAGUUCGGAUAGGAGGCUGCAAUUCGCCUCCUUGA